rnacentral:rRNA from 1 species
CCUACGGGGGGCAGCAGUAGGGAAUAUUGCUCAAUGGGGGAAACCCUGAAGCAGCAACGCCGCGUGGAGGAUGAAGGUUUUCGGAUUGUAAACUCCUUUUGUUAGAGAAGAUAAUGACGGUAUCUAACGAAUAAGCACCGGCUAACUCCGUGCCAGCAGCCGCGGUAAUACGGAGGGUGCAAGCGUUACUCGGAAUAACUGGGCGUAAAGAGCGCGUAGGCGGGAUAGCAAGUCAGAUGUGAAAUCCUAUGGCUUAACCGUAGAACUGCAUUUGAAACUGGUAGUCUAGAGUAUGGGAGAGGUAGGUGGAAUUCGUGGUGUAGGGGUAAAAUCCUUAGAGAUCAAGAGGAAUACUCAUUGCGAAGGCGACCUGCUAGAACAUAACUGACGCUGAUGCGCGAAAGUGUGGGGAGCAAACAGGAUUAGAUACCCCUGUAGUC